UCUCUCUACAAUGAACGAUGUUUUUUCUUUUUCUCUUCUUCUUACCUUCCUUAUCCUUUCUCUACUUCCAACAAUGCAACAAUUCGCUUCCUAAACUGUAAAAUUUUUAGGUUCGUCCCCUUCGGAUUACUCUUUUCAAUUUUCAGAAACUUUACACUCCGUAAAGGUUCAAAACUGUGUCAUUGCAUGGUUUGCGAUGCAUUGGUUUAUCUCUCAUCAUUUCAUCUCUUGAAUUUACCUACUUGCUCCCAUGUUUACCGAAUAGUCAGCGUAGGUGAUUGCUAAGGAUAGCGAAAUGAAAACGUCAAUCCACUAUAUCAGCUACGCAGUUUGGUAUUUGUUUAAGGAUACGUAGAGCUGCGGUGAGUUUUCCUUGUGAUCUAUUAUAUUACAAUACACAGGUUGUAUAAGUAGCAACUGGAUAUAGGUAUUGUAUUAACUAGGUUAUGAUGUUACCUAUCACUGAUAUAGCUUAUAACUAAACUGAGGAACGAGGUUCAGUUGGAACUCUAUUUAUAAUAUUUCUAAAUAGUUGUUAUCAGCGAGUAUGUGUAUAGACAGAUAGUUACCCGUGAUUAUCAAUAAACGGAUCUUAGCUAGUAUUCCAAC